rnacentral:rRNA from 1 species
UACGUAGGUGACAAGCGUUGUCCGGAUUUACUGGGCGUAAAGAGCGCGCAGGCGGUCGGAUUAGUCGCGUGUGAAAGCCCCCGGCUCAACUGGGGAGGGUCACGCGAUACUGUUCGACUCGAAGGCAGGAGAGGGAAGUGGAAUUCCCGGUGUAGUGGUGAAAUGCGUAGAUAUCGGGAGGAACACCAGUGGCGAAGGCGACUUCCUGGCCUGUUCUUGACGCUGAGGCGCGAAAGCUAGGGUAGCAAACGGG